AGAUGUGUAGUUUAAUGGUAAAACAACAGUCUCCAAAACUGUAAGAUGUGGGUUCGAGUCCUACUGCGUCUG
rnacentral:tRNA from 3 species